GCCUGUGGUGCAUUGGAUCAGUGUGUCUGGCUGUUAACCAGAAGGUUGGUCGUUCAAGCCCACCCAGUGACA